rnacentral:rRNA from 1 species
GACGAACGCUGGCGGCGUGCCUAAUACAUGCAAGUUGAGCGCUGAAGGUUGGUACUUGUACCGACUGGAUGAGCAGCGAACGGGUGAGUAACGCGUGGGGAAUCUGCCUUUGAGCGGGGGACAACAUUUGGAAACGAAUGCUAAUACCGCAUAAAAACUUUAAACACAAGUUUUAAGUUUGAAAGAUGCAAUUGCAUCACUCAAAGAUGAUCCCGCGUUGUAUUAGCUAGUUGGUGAGGUAAAGGCUCACCAAGGCGAUGAUACAUAGCCGACCUGAAAGGGUGAUCGGCCACAUUGGGACUGAGACACGGCCCAAACUCCUACGGGAGGCAGCAGUAGGGAAUCUUCGGCAAUGGACGAAAGUCUGACCGAGCAACGCCGCGUGAGUGAAGAAGGUUUUCGGAUCGUAAAACUCUGUUGGUAGAGAAGAACGUUGGUGAGAGUGGAAAGCUCAUCAAGUGACGGUAACUACCCAGAAAGGGACGGCUAACUACGUG